rnacentral:misc_RNA from 1 species
GAUGAAGAACGUAGCGAAAUGCGAUACGUAAUGUGAAUUGCAGAAUUCAGUGAAUCAUCGAGUCUUUGAACGCACAUUGCGCCCCCUGGUAUUCCGGGGGGCAUGCCUGUCCGAGCGUCAUUGCUGCCCUCAAGCACGGCUGGUGUGUUGGGCCUCCGUCCUCCUCCCGGGGGACGGGCCCGAAAGGCAGCGGCGGCACCGCGUCCGGUCCUCGAGCGUAUGGGGCUUCGUCACCCGCUCUUGUAGGCCCGGCCGGCGCUUGCCGACACAUCAAUCUUUUUUCCAGGUUGACCUCGGAUCAGGUAGGGAUACCCGCUGAACUUAAGCAUAUCAAUAAGCGGAGGA